GGCUCAGGACGAACGCUGGCGGCGUGCUUAAUACAUGCAAGUCGAGCGAGCGGAACUAACAGAUUUACUUCGGUAAUGACGUUAGGAAAGCGAGCGGCGGAUGGGUGAGUAACACGUGGGGAACCUGCCCCAUAGUCUGGGAUACCACUUGGAAACAGGUGCUAAUACCGGAUAAGAAAGCAGAUCGCAUGAUCAGCUUUUAAAAGGCGGCGUAAGCUGUCGCUAUGGGAUGGCCCCGCGGUGCAUUAGCUAGUUGGUAAGGUAAAGGCUUACCAAGGCGAUGAUGCAUAGCCGAGUUGAGAGACUGAUCGGCCACAUUGGGACUGAGACACGGCCCAAACUCCUACGGGAGGCAGCAGUAGGGAAUCUUCCACAAUGGACGCAAGUCUGAUGGAGCAACGCCGCGUGAGUGAAGAAGGUUUUCGGAUCGUAAAGCUCUGUUGUUGGUGAAGAAGGAUAGAGGUAGUAACUGGCCUUUAUUUGACGGUAAUCAACCAGAAAGUCACGGCUAACUACGUGCCAGCAGCCGCGGUAAUACGUAGGUGGCAAGCGUUGUCCGGAUUUAUUGGGCGUAAAGCGAGCGCAGGCGGAAGAAUAAGUCUGAUGUGAAAGCCCUCGGCUUAACCGAGGAACUGCAUCGGAAACUGUUUUUCUUGAGUGCAG
rnacentral:rRNA from 1 species